UACGUAGGUGGCAAGCGUUGUCCGGAUUUACUGGGCGUAAAGGGCGUGCAGGCGGCCUGUUAAGUGCAGGGUGAAAGCUCCCGGCUCAACUGGGAGAGGUCUUUGUAUACUGGCAGGCUCGAGGGGGGUAGAGGAAAGUGGAAUUCCCGGUGUAGUGGUGAUAUGCGUAGAUAUCGGGAGGAACACCUGUGGCGAAGGCGGCUUUCUGGGCCCUACCUGACGCUGAGACGCGAAAGCGUGGGGAGCGAACCGG
rnacentral:rRNA from 1 species